CAUUUUUCUAAUACUCGAUUUUGCUUUAAAUCAAAAAUUCGUUGCUACAUAAAAAUUAGGUUUAUUAGGCUCAAUACGAUCCAAAAGUUACAAAAUUGAAUAAUACCAUUCAAAACUAAUCAAACAAUUUAAAAACGUAAUUAAUACGUCUAAAAGUCUCAAACCUCAAAACAUAAAGAGAGAAACAUGGUGGUGUUUCUUCAACCUUUUCCCAUUUCCAUUACCGUAACCGGUAGAAAAGAGCAAAUAUGGAUGGUAGAGCUCAGCUAGCAGACAUCCUAAUGUCAAGGACGGCACCACCACUGUAUUCGAGCCAGCAACCUACCGAGCAUAUAUCGGUGCAUCUCUUCACCUCCGUCGACCACUAGAGCUUUUCCACAAGAUUAUGGCAACUCCACCAUCCGUCGCAACUCCUCCUUAGCCGCAAUCUCCUUUGGCCGGACCGGCUUCACCAACUUUUAAGAAGCGCAGAGACCGACCUCAUGGUUCUAGUAAGAAGCAACUUUACCAAUUUUGUGAAUUACUAGAUAUGUAUUAGAUAUAACUUUGAUUCUCUGCGUAGGAAAUUAAUGUUUGAGAAAAUGACACAAAGGAGUUUUUAUGUUUGGUUAAUGAUGAUAUAUGGGUAUUUUAAGAAGGGUGAUAUCGACACGAGGGAUUUUUAAUCGGAUGAGUUUGAGGAACUUGAUUGUUUGGAAUUCAUAGAUUUCUGGGUGUAUGCUAAGGUUUGAGAAAUUAAGGUUUCUAUAUAUUUUUAUUUCCUCAUUUUAUAAUCUGGAUUUUUUGUCAAUGGUGUAGAGGAAGAGGUUAAGAUCUAUGAGCUCAAGAAAGAUGAUUUCUCCAUAAAAUUGACCAUUUUUUGUGCUAGAAUCAUAUUUGUUAUUCUUCUCAACGGUAAUAGAGAAUUUUUUUGGACACUUUUUUUCGAAUAUUCUUGUGAAUUCCAUUUCCUCGUUAGUUUUAAAUCAAUAAUGUUUCAACUAAUUUGUAUCUACAAUCACAUUGCAGAGCAGUUCAACUUUUAUUUUGCCUACUCUUUUCAAUUGCUUCAGUUGUAAGUUGAAUAACAAAUUGUCGUAGAGAUCCAAUUUGUGAUGCUUGUAGGAACAACUAAACUCGAGAGUUUCAACACUUGGAUACUUUUUGGAUGCCCAUGAGAUUGUUCAUGGACAGGUAUGCAAAUGUGGUUUUUAGUCUUCAUUUUAUUUUGGCAGGUAUUAUCGAUUUCACUCCUAAUUUUUAUUAUUAUUGCAGGAGCAGUUGAACACAGUUGCUUGAAGUAACAAUGAUUAUUAUAGCAACCAAACAAGCAUCGAGGGCUGGUGACGCAGCUUUUCACAUUAUAACCUUUAAUUCAUUUUCAACCUGUAAUAUUUGAACUGAAUCUUACUCUUCUCAUCGGGAUAAUUGAACUCAACAACACCAAUACAGGAUACUUCUUAUCUUUCUCAACAAAGUUUGCAUGUGUUGGUAAAGUAUAUAUGUUAUACAUUUUGAAUAAGAACUUCGUUUUUAUGUUGGAUGGUAACUUAUGUCAAUGUCUUCAAUUGUUCAUCGAAGUUUAAUAUGUCGAGUUUUGGAUUGUUUGUCACUUUUUUUAGUGUUUG
rnacentral:lncRNA from 1 species